AGGUCUCCUGAAGGAACGUUGAAGACGACGACGUUGAUAGGCCGGGUGUGUAAGCGCAGCGAUGCGUUGAGCUAACUGGUACUAAUGAACCGUGAGGCUUAACCUUACAACGCCGAAG
rnacentral:rRNA from 1 species